rnacentral:lncRNA from 1 species
GGAAACAUUCAAUGCAUUGGGUUGGAUUGGUGCGGAGGACACAAGAGAAGGAUGCGGUCGGUAAAUAACACUGGGUGAGGUAGUUUGUUCCUGAGUUCCUGGCUCAUUUACUCCAAGAAGAUCCGGUGUAGUGGGCGAAGCGAGGUUCACUUCAUGAAAGCCUUCCAAGGGGUCACUGGCCAUAAUAAAUGCCUCAUCAUAUGAAGCCCUGCGCCGAGCCAGCCCCAACGGCCGCCGCCGCACCGCGUCCCUCGGCCAACCUGGG